rnacentral:lncRNA from 1 species
UGUGAGCCACCAUGGCCUGAAUUUAGAGGGGGGAUGCCCAUCCCCCACUUUGCCAGGAUCUCAUCAGGAAGACAAGCUCAGCUGCUCAGCGGUUUUGGCUUCUUGCAGGAAGCUGCAGAUGGGGCACACAGUAGACUUCACCUAGGUCAGAAGACUCCACCCUAGGUGAGCUAGCCGACUGUGGCAAACAAGGUCUGAUUCAGCCCGCUCAAGGCUGGGGGAAGGGCACAGUUAGGGUUUCUAUUUCUAUGAUAAAACAUCAUGACAAAAAAGCAAGUUGGGGGUGGGGUGGGGCUGGAGAGAUGGCUCAGCGGUUAAGAGCACUGACUGCUCUUCUGGAGGUCCUGAGUUCAAGUCCCAGCAGCCACAUGGUGGCUCAUAACCAUCUGUAAUGAGUUUUGAUGCCCUCUUCUGGUGUGUCUGAAGACAGCUGCAGUGUACUUAAAUAAAUAAAUUUUUUUUAAAAGCAAGUUGGGGGGGAAAGGGUUUAUUCUGCUAAUGUUUCCAAGCAUUGUUCUUCAUUGAAGGAUGUCAGGACAGGAACUCUUACACAGCAGGAUUCUGGAGGCAGGAGCUGAUGCAGAGACUAUGGAGGGGUGCUGCUUACUGGCUU